UGUGUGUGUGUGUGUGUGUGUGUGUGUGUGUGUGUGUGUGUGUGUGUGUAUACAUACACACAUAUACACACACACACU
rnacentral:miRNA from 1 species